AGAUUAAGUUAUUAAGGGCGCACGGUGGAUGCCUUGGCACUAGAAGCCGAAGAAGGACGUUACUAACGACGAUAUGCUUUGGGUAGCUGUAAGUAAGCGUUGAUCCAGAGAUUUCCGAAUGGGGGAACCCAACAUGAGUUAUGUCAUGUUAUCGACAUGUGAAUUCAUAGCAUGUCAGAAGGCAGACCCGGAGAACUGAAACAUCUUAGUACCCGGAGGAAGAGAAAGAAAAAUCGAUUCCCUGAGUAGCGGCGAGCGAAACGGGAAGAGCCCAAACCAACAAGCUUGCUUGUUGGGGUUGUAGGACACUCUAUACGGAGUUACAAAAGAACAUGUUAGACGAAUCAUCUGGAAAGAUGAAUCAAAGAAGGUAAUAAUCCUGUAGUCGAAAACAUAUUCUCUCUUGAGUGGAUCCUGAGUACGACGGAGCACGUGAAAUUCCGUCGGAAUCUAGGAGGACCAUCUCCUAAGGCUAAAUACUCUCUAGUGACCGAUAGUGAACCAGUACCGUGAGGGAAAGGUGAAAAGUACCCCGGAAGGGGAGUGAAAGAGAACUUGAAACCGUGUGCUUACAAGUAGUCAGAGCCCGUUUAUGGGUGAUGGCGUGCCUUUUGUAGAAUGAACCGGCGAGUUACGAUCUGAUGCAAGGUUAAGCAGCGAAUGUGGAGCCGUAGCGAAAGCGAGUCUGAAUAGGGCGUUGAGUAUUUGGUCGUAGACCCGAAACCAGGUGAUCUACCCUUGGUCAGGUUGAAGUUCAGGUAACACUGAAUGGAGGACCGAACCGACUUACGUUGAAAAGUGAGCGGAUGAACUGAGGGUAGCGGAGAAAUUCCAAUCGAACUUGGAGAUAGCUGGUUCUCUCCGAAAUAGCUUUAGGGCUAGCCUCAAGUGAUGAUUAUUGGAGGUAGAGCACUGUUUGGACGAGGGGCCCCUCUCGGGUUACCGAAUUCAGACAAACUCCGAAUGCCAAUCAAUUUAACUUGGGAGUCAGAACAUGGGUGAUAAGGUCCGUGUUCGAAAGGGAAACAGCCCAGACCACCAGCUAAGGUCCCAAAAUAUAUGUUAAGUGGAAAAGGAUGUGGCGUUGCCCAGACAACUAGGAUGUUGGCUUAGAAGCAGCCAUCAUUUAAAGAGUGCGUAAUAGCUCACUAGUCGAGUGACACUGCGCCGAAAAUGUACCGGGGCUAAACAUAUUACCGAAGCUGUGGAUUGUCCUUCGGACAAUGGUAGGAGAGCGUUCUAAGGGCGUUGAAGCAUGAUCGCAAGGACAUGUGGAGCGCUUAGAAGUGAGAAUGCCGGUGUGAGUAGCGAAAGACGGGUGAGAAUCCCGUCCACCGAUUGACUAAGGUUUCCAGAGGAAGGCUCGUCCGCUCUGGGUUAGUCGGGUCCUAAGCUGAGGCCGACAGGCGUAGGCGAUGGAUAACAGGUUGAUAUUCCUGUACCACCUAGUAUCGUUUUAAUCGAUGGGGGGACGCAGUAGGAUAGGCGAAGCGUGCUGUUGGAGUGCACGUCCAAGCAGUAAGGCUGAGUGUUAGGCAAAUCCGGCACUCGUUAGGCUGAGCUGUGAUGGGGAGAGGAAAUU
rnacentral:rRNA from 1 species